AUUGAACGCUGGCGCAGGCCUAACACAUGCAAGUCGAGCGGCAGCGACUUAACUGAACUUCGGGGAAUGUUAAGGGCGGCGAGCGGCGGACGGGUGAGUAAUCCUGGGAAUAUGCCUGAUGUGGGGGAUAACUAUUGGAAACGAUAGCUAAUACCGCAUAAUCUCUUCGGAGCAAAGAGGGGGACCUUCGGGCCUCUCGCGUCAGGAUUAGCCCAGGUGGGAUUAGCUUGUUGGUGAGGUAAUGGCUCACCAAGGCAACGAUCCCUAGCUGGUCUGAGAGGAUGAUCAGCCACACUGGAACUGAGACACGGUCCAGACUCCUACGGGAGGCAGCAGUGGGGAAUAUUGCACAAUGGGGGAAACCCUGAUGCAGCCAUGCCGCGUGUGUGAAGAAGGCCUUCGGGUUGUAAAGCACUUUCAGUAGGGAGGAAGGUAGUGUAGUUAACACCUGCAUUAUUUGACGUUACCUACAGAAGAAGCACCGGCUAACUCCGUGCCAGCAGCCGCGGUAAUACGGAGGGUGCGAGCGUUAAUCGGAAUUACUGGGCGUAAAGCGCAUGCAGGCGGCCUGUUAAGUCAGAUGUGAAAGCCCGGGGCUUAACCUCGGAAUUGCAUUUGAAACUGGCAGGCUAGAGUCUUGUAGAGGGGGGUAGAAUUUCAGGUGUAGCGGUGAAAUGCGUAGAGAUCUGAAGGAAUACCAGUGGCGAAGGCGGCCCCCUGGACAAAGACUGACGCUCAGAUGCGAAAGCGUGGGGAGCAAACAGG
rnacentral:rRNA from 1 species